AUUGAACGCUGGCGGCAGGCUUAACACAUGCAAGUCGAGCGGGGGAAGGUAGCUUGCUACCGGACCUAGCGGCGGACGGGUGAGUAAUGCUUAGGAAUCUGCCUAUUAGUGGGGGACAACAUCUCGAAAGGAAUGCUAAUACCGCAUACGUCCUACGGGAGAAAGCAGGGGAUCUUCGGACCUUGCGCUAAUAGAUGAGCCUAAGUCGGAUUAGCUAGUUGGUGGGGUAAAGGCCUACCAAGGCGACGAUCUGUAGCGGGUCUGAGAGGAUGAGCCGCCACACUGGGCCUGAGACACGGCCCAGACUCCUACGGGAGGCAGCAGUGGGGAAUAUUGGACAAUGGGGGGAACCCUGAUCCAGCCAUGCCGCGUGUGUGAAGAAGGCCUUAUGGUUGUAAAGCACUUUAAGCGAGGAGGAGGCUACUUUAGUUAAUACCUAGAGAUAGUGGACGUUACUCGCAGAAUAAGCCCCGGCUAACUCUGUGCCAGCCGCCGCCGUAA
rnacentral:rRNA from 1 species